rnacentral:misc_RNA from 1 species
UCUGGGUUUAUCCCAGCGGUCUCGUUCCCGCGACCGGGAUGUCAAAGGCUGGUAAGGUUCUUCGCGUUGCUUCGAAUUGAACCACAUGCUCCACCGCUUGUGCGGGCCCCCGUCAAUUCCUUUGAGUUUUAAUCUUGCGACCGUACUCCCCAGGCGGGAUGCUUAAUGCGUUAGCUGCGCCACUGAAGAGCAAGCUCCCCAACGGCUAGCAUCCAUCGUUUACAGCGUGGACUAC